rnacentral:lncRNA from 1 species
GUGGGCGGGGUCAGCGCAGGAUCUGUCCAAUCAGAGCUCGUUGCGCAUCCGGUGAGUUCGCUUAUAAAGCUCGUUUCUGCAUGUGUUUCUCCAGCCUUCAGUGCCUCCAGCUCAUCGGCGGGAGAACGGAUCCGUUCGCACCGGUGUGUGUUUGGACUUGACGGGGCUGUGAACGGAACCGAGCCGCGGGAGACUCCAGUGCGCGAGAGCUCGAGGAGAGAAACGCUGUCCAUCUGCCCCGCGUCAUCCAGAGUCUACUUUUGAGAGCAUGAUUGUCUAACCCUGCACUGGAGUGAGAUCCCAUCAGCUCUGACCU